GUCUCUGGCCAUACCACCCUGAAUGUGCCCGAUCCCUUCUGAUCUCAGAAGCUAAGCAGGAUGAAGCGAAGAGAGUUGAGCCAAGAGGCC
rnacentral:rRNA from 1 species